UAGGGAAUCUUCCACAAUGGACGAAAGUCUGAUGGAGCAACGCCGCGUGAGUGAUGAAGGGUUUCGGCUCGUAAAACUCUGUUGUUGGAGAAGAACGGGUGUCGGAGUAACUGUUGACAUCGUGACGGUAUCCAACCAGAAAGCCACGGCUAACUACGUGCCAGCAGCCGCGGUAAUACGUAGGUGGCAAGCGUUGUCCGGAUUUAUUGGGCGUAAAGCGAGCGCAGGCGGUUUUUUAGGUCUGAUGUGAAAGCCUUCGGCUUAACCGGAGAAGUGCAUCGGAAACCGGGAGACUUGAGUGCAGAAGAGGACAGUGGAACUCCAUGUGUAGCGGUGAAAUGCGUAGAUAUAUGGAAGAACACCAGUGGCGAAGGCGGCUGUCUGGUCUGCAACUGACGCUGAGGCUCGAAAGCAUGGGUAGCGAACAGGAUUAGAUACCCUGGUAGUCCAUGCCGUAAACGAUGAGUGCUAAGUGUUGGAGGGUUUCCGCCCUUCAGUGCUGCAGCUAACGCAUUAAGCACUCCGCCUGGGGAGUACGACCGCAAGGUUGAAAC
rnacentral:rRNA from 1 species